rnacentral:rRNA from 1 species
UACGUAGGGGCGCGAGCGUUGUCCGGAAUUAUUGGGCGUAAAGAGCUCGUAGGCGGCCUGUCGCGUCGGUUGUGAAAGCUCGGGGCUCAACCCCGGGUCUGCAGUCGAUACGGGCAGGCUAGAGUUCGGUAGGGGAGAUCGGAAUUCCUGGUGUAGCGGUGGAAUGCGCAGAUAUCAGGAGGAACACCGAUGGCGAAGGCAGCUCGCUGGGACGUACUGACGCUGAGACGCGAAAGCGUGGGGAGCAAACAGG